AGAGUAGUUUAUGCAUGGCAAUUAUGUUAGUUGUUUGAGAGUUUAUGCUCUUUGUUUGAUAUAAGUAUGUUUUCGUUUGUGUUUCAGGAUUUUAAUUGCUCUUCGUUUGUCUUAAGUUAAUUACUUUUCCAUUAUUACGUCUAAUUAAUGAAUAGUUCUUCUCUUUUCCUUUUCACAUAGAGCAUGAUUCUCUUUAAUUAUGAGCAACAAUUAAGGACAUUAAGCUUACAUGUACCGAUUAACACAUAAUCAUUAUCUAAGCCCUCCUUUGAAACAUUUCAUUUAACUCCUUCACUGACAUUUUCUUUUGGCUGAAAAUAGAAUGAAUAAAUGUUUGACCAAACUUGCUUCAAUUUGAAUUCUAAAAUUUGGAUUUAAAAUGGCAAGAAAUUUUUUUAAUUUAACUAAAAUCUUAAAUUUAAAUAUUGAACAUAUAAUUAUUUUAAAAUAUUUUAAGAUAAAUAGUCUGUCGG
rnacentral:lncRNA from 1 species